GAACAUAUAGACAAUUGAGAAGCUUUUUCCUGAGUUUUUAAAAACAAAAAUGUUACAAAAUACCGCAGGAAAGGUAAAAGUUUUGAAUUUCAAAGUUUAAUCCUAGUUCUCAGAUGCGCUACAUAUUCUGUCGACAAAAAAUUCCAUAUGUUUCGCUUCCCAGUAUGACCGAAUUGGGCAAAAGAUAUACUGCAUAGACAAUAUGCGGACUCUACUUGCAAGUACACUCUACGUUUGCCUUUUUUCUGCUUGCAUACAAAAUAAAAUCUGAUAAAAAUUCAAAUGUCGUGUGAAAGCAAUGUGGAGAUUGAAAGACAAGAAUGCAGGGAUUCCGUUCCAGCGGGAUAUAAAUGGUAGACGAUAGAACUAUGGUAUUUUCCAAUAUGGAAAAACACCGUCCGUUGUUUUUGAUUACUCAAUAGCUAGCUGCUAAAUGUUAUAAUAUUUUUCGCAAAAUGCCACAGAACAAU
rnacentral:lncRNA from 1 species